ACGACUGUACUUUACAGGAUUAUGUAUAUAGUACAUUCCCAGUCUUUGUUUCCCAACAAAGACACUAAUACCAAGCUGGUAGAUGAGAUGUAGUGCGCUGUCCGUAAAGGGAAGUGUGAGUAGUGACCGAUCGGACCUUCGGGGCCAUAGGACCUACUCAGUUGAUGAACUUGCCGGUUGAUUAUUCCAACAGCCUGGCGAGGACGGUUUGCACAUUCUGACAGCU
rfam:Basidiobolus meristosporus CBS 931.73 K493scaffold_56, whole genome shotgun sequence.